GGGGGAUUAGCUUAAAUGGUAGAGUGCACACUUAGCACAUGAGAGGUAGUGGGAUCAAUGCCUGCAUCCUCCA
rnacentral:tRNA from 1 species